rnacentral:lncRNA from 1 species
GUGCAUAGCCCUACCUUCAACUACCAAACGACCACGGUUUAGGUGGAAUGGUCAACUAUCAGUCGUGGCCUUUCAUCUUUUUUGAUCCAAAGGCAACAAACUGGCCAAAAAUAUAAAAUAUAACUGUCCGAAUAGCUUAUCCCCCCCCAAAUGACCUCUCUCAUUCUCUCACAUACCACUCUUCUCCCCCCUCUCACACUCCACCUUACGCCACCAUCAGAAAUUGCCAACGGCAUCGGCACCACUCCAAACAGCCCCAAAAUACCACCAUACAAUCCCCAUCACUCCCUCGUCUCUAAUACACAAUAAUCUUCUCCGAAAACCUCACCGUUUACCACGUCUAAUAGAUCUGAAAAUCACCAAAAAACCUAAUACAUUCCCUUUUAUGAUUCUCCUGAUUUUUAGCCCAUUUGAGGUUGAUACUUACAUCAAUCGAAUCCUUAAGAUGAACGCUAUCAUUUCAUGUCGGUCUUUGGCCAUUUCAUGAUCGGCAGAAAAUGGUCAAAAUUCCAUAAACCAUCCAAGCUCGCCGCUUCGUUCCUCCUGUUGUUAUGCUGACUUGAAAAGGCUAUUGUUAUACGCCGCAUUGGCCAAAAAUGGAUAACCUCCGGCUAGUGCUCGUAUAGCAAUAAUCUUUGCCUGCCGGAGUCCUGUUGGAUUGCCUGCGAUGUCCACUUCUGUCGGUAAUCUUAUUUCUCUCCUUCCAUGAAUUUGUUUCCUGUUAUCAUUAGAUAAAUUUGGUAUCUACAUAUUCUAGGUUUUUAGUUACUCAUGUUUUAGUUACUUAAUUUUGUUUUCCUUUUGAUUUGUUUGUUUGUUUUAAUUAAUUGCUUGAUUAGUUUAGUGUCAAUUGCAUCAGAGUUUGUUUAGAUAUUUUAGGUUCUGAUUCUUUCGCGUUAGUAUGUAAUUUUAGAGCUUGCCUAUUGGAAAACAGGGCCAGCGAUGUUGACUAGGUGACUCAGGGCUUCGUUGUUGGGCAUGUAGGUUUUUUACACUUGACGUCCAAGUCUUUAAUUAAAUCUAGCCCAUCUAAUAAUAAAAAUGCUAGAUGAAGCAAUAAAUAACAGGGAAUUUAAGGGGCAAUUAUUAAAGCAAAGAAGGAAGGAAUCUUAGUUAUUCAUUUAGGAAGCUUCUAAGAGGGACUAACUUGCAAGAAAAGAAAAGAAAUGGGAGGGUGUUAGGGACUAAAGAGCAAAACAAAAAUACAAAAGGGGGAAAAAAGAAAGAAAAUAACUGAAAAAGAAUCUCUGCAUUUCUAUAUAACAGACCAAUUCUGCAUUCAUACUGGGGACGGAUAUUCACCCUCAAUACACUCUUCCUAAUACUCUCUCAUUCUCACAUGCCUAAGCAUUUUAGUAGCAGCUGGAACUUGCAGAAAAUCCAUAUCUGAAUUUGAAAGUUUGAAAACAAAACAAAGAAAAACAAAGGAAAGUAGCAUACAAAGGAUAGUCUGUUGGAAUUAUAGUUGGUUCAUCUUCAUUUUUUUUGUUUCAAUAUCAUUUAAUUGGGAGUUGCUGCUUUUCUUUCCUGAAUUUACUAAACUUUGCUUUUUUGGCCUUUAUUUGGCAUUUCCUAAAAUGUUUUCUACACAACCAGGUAUUGAAUCAUGAAUUAAAGCCUAUGAUUUGUCAAAAAAUUUGAGUUUCUGUUGGUUUGUCAUGAAAUCUGAAUUGCUGCUGCAAUAUGUGUUCCAUUUUCUCCAUGACUUUGUUUUUUACUCAAAUUUGUAUAUAGACAUGCCUCUGUUGGCAUCAGUUCUCUGUUUAUUUUGUUUAUUUAACUGAAAUCCAAAUUUAAACUACUCACAAGCUAGUUUAGUGUUAUUGACAAUAAUUUACAACAUUUAAACAUCUCAUGAUAUCAUUAGAUCUGUACUUAGUUGUGUUUGUUGUUUGUUCAUGAGAAAAUUUCUGCGGUAGUAUAGAAUAUACAACAUGUUAAAAUACAGUUUGUUCAUCUAGUUAGAAGCAGAUUUAGAGUUGAUGUUUUUAGGUUAAACGAAUAUAAAAAGAUGUAUUUAUCUCAUGUCUCAAUAUUCUAAUUAGUAUGUGUCUGAAAUCUAGAAAUCUGAUUCGUUCGUGUUAGUAUGUAAUUAAUCAAUAGAUUAGAGUUAACAUCUCUAUUAUGAUCUAAGUAAUUUGAACCACGUUAGAUAUUUUAAUGGAUUGAUUUCUUCUUGAACUAUUGAGCCUUGUUUUCUUAGAAAAUAAUGGGUCUGGUCUUCAGCCUUAUUGAGGCUGCCUGGUUGACCCAGGGUCAAACCAGCCUUGAAUUUUAUGUUACUUGGGCUCAAUUUCAAGCCCAUCCGGAAUCUGUAGCCUUAUGUGUAUUACUUUGAAGGGUUGUGAUGUAUUGGGCUUUACCUCUAAGCUCGUCUUUGCAUAAAUGGACCCAAUUAAAGGUCCUAAUAUGAUUGUUAAUCCAACUCAAUUGAUGACCUUUCCACUCCAAACGCUAGCCUAGGUCAUCUUCGUUUAAAAGACAAAUAAAUAAAUAAACAUAGUUCUUCCAUAAAUGAUUUUAGUUAAUGUUAGACUCUUGUCACAUUGAUGUAGUUUUCUAAAUCAUUUUUGGUUUUCAAAGGUGAUGCACCUGCAAUCUGUGAAUUACUCAAAUCAUCCACACAUUAAUUCCACUAAUUAUGAGACCUUUGAUCUCAAACAUGUUUUUUAGGAAAUUAAUCAAUCCUUGAAUAUUCGAAAAAUGCUUUAAGCGCGCAUUGAACUUACUAUCGUGAUUAUGUAUACGUUCGCGUGACAUAAUUACGAACCCCAAAAAAUCAAAGUAAGCGCUCGCGCUACUCAGGCCAAACAAUUUUAACAAAUAAUUAAGUGUUAUUAAUUGUGUGCACAUACGCGUGACAUGUUUUUAGCGCGCUAAAUAAAACGGAUUCACACACACGUGGUUCGUUUCAAGAUAAUUUCAUAACGUCAUAACAAGUAACUUAAAUGAGAUGAAAGGUUGAAAUGCACAUAGGUUCUAAAAUAAGUAAUAAUCAAAUUAAUACGCUGAGUGUAGAUUGUAAAGCAACCGCGUUACAAUUACAGAAUCCAGUAAUGCCUAAUACCUUCUAUCGGGUUAGCAGAAUUUCUUACCCGGUCUUCUGUGUUUCGCAGACCUUAAACAGAGUCAAUUUUCCUUGAUUUGGGAUUUAAAAAUAAUUUGGCGACUUGGGAUAUCAUAAUAAUUAUUCCAAGUGGCGACUCCAAUAAAAUAACUAAUCUCAUUUCAAUAAUGUUACUUAAAGUGGAAAAAUUUCUUUUUCCGUAAAAAGGCGGUGUGACAAUGUGUACAUGCAAAUCCCACAGGGUUUGAUAGUAGAGAACACACAACUUGUGUGUAGGUUAAGAAAGUCUUUGUAUGGCCUCAAAUAAGCCAAUAGACAGUGGUAUGAUAAGCUGAUAGAGUCCCUGUAUUCUAGAGGUUUCAGACACUCAACCAAUGACUACUCCUUCUUUACAAAAGGUAGGGUGGUUCAUCAGUCUUUGUAGCUGUGUAUGUUGAUAAUAUAUGAUCCUCAGUGGGACUAAUUUUGAAUAAAUCACAGCACUGAAGACAAUCAGUUCAGAAUAAAAUACUUAAACAAGUUACACUACUUCUUGGAGCUAGAGAUAUUUUACAAGGAUGACGGAGUGCUUAUUUCCCAAAGGAAAUUUACCAAUGAUUGGUUGAUGGAGUAUGAUUGUCUAGGGUACUCCUCUAUUUCAUUCCCUCUUGAUUCAUCAACCAAGCUAAAAGCUGAAGAAGGCAUUUUACUCUCUGAUCCAUCUUGUUAUAGAAACUUAAUUGAAAAACUCAACUUCCUCACAAACACAAGGCUAAAUAUUCCAUACAGUAUGCAAUACUUAAGCCAGUUUAUGCAAGCACCAAAAGAACCCCAUCUUAAGGCUGCUAUACAUAUACUUAGGUACUUGAAGGCUGAUCCUACCCUAGGCGUCUUUUUGUCCAAUGAUCCUUCUUAUGAAGUUACAUCAUACUGUGACUCAGGUUGGGUUGUAUGUCCUGAUUCAAGGAGGUCUGUAAGUGAGUACCUUGUGCUCCUUGGAGGCAGUCCAAUUAGCUGAAAAUCAAAGAAGAAGGCUACUGUUUCAUUAUCUUCUGCAAAGGCAUAGUACAUAUCAUUGAGAAAGGUGGUUGGAGAAUUGGUAUGGGUGAAGAGGUUGUUAGAAGAAUUAACAGUUCCAUCUAUUAAUCCUAUUCCAGUUUUCUGUGAUAGCCAGGUAUCUGUGCACAUUGCUAGGAAUCUUGUGUUCCACAAGAGGACAAAUCAUAUAGAAGUAGAUUGUCGCUUUGUGAGAGACAAGCUGCAUGAUGGUCUGAUUACACUUCAUCAUAUCUCUACUCAUGAUUAACAGGCUGAGAUUUUAACAAAGGCUCUCACAGGAUCAAGCACUCAGAUCUUUUUGGCAAGUUGGCAGUGAGUUCCUCACCUCCAACUUGGGUGGGAGGGGGAAGGGGGGAGGUUGAGAUUAUAGGGUUGUUAUAUUGUAUUUAUUUGUAUUGUAUUGUGAUUGAGGUUAUUAGUUAGUUAGCUUAUGUGGUUAGUAGUUGAAUUAGUUACAGGGGUAGUUUGGUAAUUAGCAUUUGUAUUUUCCUAUUUCCUUUUCUCACCUAUAUAAGUACUCUAUUCAGCUAAAUAGAAAGUACACAGAAUUUUCCACAUUCAUUCUCUAUCUAGAAUUUUCUUUUCCUUUCCCUAGGGGCGGCUCAACGAUAUUCGAAGGCUAAAGCUAAACUUCAACGAGAAGUCCUAAGUUUUUCCAUAUUUAAAAACUCAUUUAAUAAAAUUAUUUUAGGUUUAUUUUUAUAGCUUUUUGAGAUAUAAAAUUUUUAAUUAAUUUAUUUAUAAUCGAUUUCUUAACUAGGAUUAUAUAUAUAUUUCUACUUUCUAGGAUUAUUAUUCAAUUCUUUUAGGAUUUCCUAAUUUUCUAAAAUAUCUUUGUUAAACUCUCACCAAUUUUUUUUCUCUUCUUGGAUUCCAUUUUAUUCUAGCUUAAUUAUAUUAGUGAUUUGUUUAUAUUGCCUGUCAUUACCUGUUUAAUUGUGUAUUUGUACCCGAGAGGCAGAUUUUUUUGGGCUUAUCUGUUCUAAUUGCUUUGUGUUCAAUUGCUUAACUGUUGAAAAGUCAUUUUAAAGAAGUUUAAACUCAGCUAAGAUGCUUUAAGAGAUUUCAUAACUUCAUUGCUUUUUUACUGGUUUUGUACCACUUCUAUACAGCAUGUUGAUGUACCUUUCAUGAUUUCCUAUCACUCAAUCUUUAGUUAUGAUUAUUACUCACUGAGUUAGAGUACUGACUUUACUCCCUGCACUUCAUGUGCAGAUUCAGGUAUUUCUGCACCCGGUAGCGGGUAUUGGUUGAUCAGCGGCAGAGUCUUUGGAGUUUAGCAAGGUAGCUGCCCGAUGUCCGCAGCACUACUUUUCUCCCUUUGAUGUCAUUAGACUGUAUUUAGUACAUUUACAGAAAGUCCGUUGUAUUUUAGACCUUAGUAGAUGCUCGUAACUUGUGACACCCCGAUGUCGGGCUAUAUUCAUUUCCACACUUGUUUUAUUUCGCUAAAUCUAUACUUGUUGGGGAUUAUCCUUAUAAAUGACUUAAAUUGACUUAUUAAACUGGUAAAACUAAAUUUGGGAAUUGUGCCGGCUGGCCAUGUCUUCUCGAGAGGCACCAUCACGAUCGGUUCGAUUUUUAGGUCGUGACAUCUGAGUCCCGAAUCCUCAACUGAUGGUACCCUGAUCUCAAGUCGAUCUUAGAGAACACCUUAG